rnacentral:rRNA from 1 species
AGCUUGAUUGCAAGACAUACAGGUCGAGCAAGGAUGAAAAUCGGACUUAGUGAUCCGGUGGUUCUGCGUGGAAGGGCCAUCGCUCAACGGAUAAAAGCUACCCUGGGGAUAACAGGCUUAUCUCCCCCAAGAGUCCACAUCGACGGGGAGGUUUGGCACCUCGAUGUCGGCUCAUCACAGCCUGGGGCUGUAGUAGGUCCCAAGGGUUGGGCUGUUCGCCCAUUAAAGUGGUACGCGAGCUGGGUUCAGAACGUCGUGAGACAGUUCGGUCCCUAUCCGUCGCAGGCGUAGGAAAUGUGAGAAGACCUGUCC